rnacentral:lncRNA from 1 species
CUGCUUCAAGCCAUCCUUGGUUCCAAAGUGAGAGUGUGAUAGGCCACCCUGGGAGGAAGGAGAUGUUAGCAAACCCCUGUAAAGUCCGAUGCAUGCUUGGAAGAACAAGGCAGUCAUUUUUCUCUGAAAGGAAAAGGCAGCAUCUGCUCAUCUGUUCACAGAGAAUAUUCCAUUAAUUACAGCCCAGCCUGGGACAUUCUUCACUUCCCUUCACUUCCCCUCUGGGAGCCCCUUUCACCACCCCUGCAUCUUGCUUCAGGCGAUGCCCGAGAGGGAGCUGUGGCCAGCAGGGCCUGGCCUGGAACCCACGACCCGCGUCGGCAGCUGCGACAGUAUGAUGAGCACCACCUCCACCCGCUCUGGAUCUAGUGACAGCAGCUACGAUUUCCUGUCCGCUGAAGAGAAGGAGUGUCUGCUUUUCCUGGAGGAAACCAUUGGCUCCCUGGACACUGAGGCUGACAGCGGGCUGUCCACUGACGAGUCUGAGCAAGCCACAACUCCCCGAGGUCCCCGAGCACUGCCCACGACGCAGCCUGCCCCCCAGGGACAUCCCAAGGAGACAACUGGCCAAGGACCAGAGCCAAAAAGAGUGACUCCGUUCAGCUCAGCUCAUCCACCCGGGCCCCAAAGCCUGAGCCUCAGGUCUGGCUCCUAUAGCCUCCCCAGAAAUAUCCACAUCGGCAGAAACCAGAACCUCAGAAAAAGCACCACCCCGACUAACAGCCAUAAUCCAGGGGGAUCCGAGGGACUUCUCUCGGCACCUGAGACAGAGCAGGUCAGCCAGAGCCGUGAGCCCAGCCAGGCACUGGCCGCGCCCCCAGACGCUGCCCUUGAGCUGGACGGAGCGCUCAUCCCCCCACCGGAGGCUUUCCAGGACAUCCAGCCCGAGCAGCGUGGGCAAGGCAGCCUGCCCAGAGGACCAGGGGAGCUGAGCCCCAGGCCCCAGGUCCACCCAUCACUUAGCUCCCAGAGAAACAGGAAGCCCGCUCCAGAGGCCAUGUCCCAAAAAGCCAGUGAGAAAGGUUCAACCGGGGAACCUGCGCCACCUCGGCCUCUUCCCCUGGUGUCCUCUCAGGAUGCAGGCACUGGAGAUGCGGCCGUCCUGUCAGGGGGCCAUCCAAGUGCCCAGCCGGCCCCCCUCACGGCCCCUAAGCCCCGGAAACUGCCACCAAACAUUGUCCUGAAGAGCAGCCGAGGCAGUUUCCACAGUGACCCCCGGAACCGGCUGUCCUGCCACUUGGAGGCUGCACCCGGGGAACCCAGCCCCGCCUCGUCCUCGCUGCAGGAGCAGAGGAAGGCACGCAGGGAAGCGCUGGAGAAGCUGGGGCUGCCGCAGGACCAGGAGGAGCCCAGCCUCCGCUUAAGCAGGCCCUCCAUUCAGGCUCAAGGAGACUGGCACUCAGGCCGAGUCCCCGGCCCCAGCUCAGGUCCCCGGAAGGGCCCCGGCCCCUGCACCCAAGCAGGGCCCUUCUCCCGGGAAAGCACCAGCUCUGGCCCAAUCGCCUUCUCCAGGCAAGGUUCUGGUUCCCACCCAGGAACCCACUCCAGGGACAGCUCCAGCUGCCAAAUCCAUGCCAAUUCCUGUCCCAAAGGGCCCGCGGGCACACAGUCCCCUGACUCAGCAAAAGCCAGACUCCGGGCUGACCCUCCAGGAGAGUGGCGUCCCUGGCCUCAGACAGAUGAGCUUCAAGUCCAACACCCUGGAGCGGUCAGGCAUUGGGCUGAGCAGCUACCUUCUCAGCCGAGAAGGCUCCCAGCCCCCAAACCAGCACCUCUCUGGAAAAAGGCUCCUACCUGGACCGGAUCUCGCCCAGCAUCUUGCGUAAUUCCCGGCCACGCCCGGCCUCCUUGGGCACUGGGAAGGACUUUGAGGGUAUCCAGGUGGGCAAGCUGGCUGACCUGGAGCAGGAGGGGGCCCCCAAGCGCCUGUCUUACCAGGGGCAGAGCCGAGACAAGCUGCCCCGGCCCCCCUGUGUCAGUGUCAGGAUCUCCCCAAAGGGAGUGUCAGAUGAACACAGAAGGGAGGCGCUGA